rnacentral:rRNA from 1 species
AUUGAACGCUGGCGGCAGGCCUAACACAUGCAAGUCGAGCGGAUGAAGAGAGCUUGCUCUCUGAUUCAGCGGCGGACGGGUGAGUAAUGCCUAGGAAUCUGCCUGAUAGUGGGGGACAACGUUUCGAAAGGAACGCUAAUACCGCAUACGUCCCACGGGAGAAAGUGGGGGAUCUUCGGACCUCACGCUAUCAGAUGAGCCUAGGUCGGAUUAGCUAGUUGGUGGGGUAAUGGCCCACCAAGGCGACGAUCCGUAACUGGUCUGAGAGGAUGAUCAGUCACACUGGAACUGAGACACGGUCCAGACUCCUACGGGAGGCAGCAGUGGGGAAUAUUGGACAAUGGGCGAAAGCCUGAUCCAGCCAUGCCGCGUGUGUGAAGAAGGUCUUCGGAUUGUAAAGCACUUUAAGUUGGGAGGAAGGGCAGUAAAUUAAUACUUUGCUGUUUUGACGUUACCGACAGAAUAAGCACCGGCUAACUCUGUGCCAGCCGCCGCCGUAAGAC